rnacentral:rRNA from 1 species
GACGAACGCUGGCGGCGUGCUUAACACAUGCAAGUCGAACGGAAAGGCCCUGCUUUUGUGGGGUGCUCGAGUGGCGAACGGGUGAGUAACACGUGAGUAACCUGCCCUUGACUUUGGGAUAACUUCAGGAAACUGGGGCUAAUACCGGAUAGGAGCUCCUGCUGCAUGGUGGGGGUUGGAAAGUUUCGGCGGUUGGGGAUGGACUCGCGUCGUAUCAGCUUGUUGGUGGGGUAGUGGCUUACCAAGGCUUUGACGGGUAGCCGGCCUGAGAGGGUGACCGGCCACAUUGGGACUGAGAUACGGCCCAGACUCCUACGGGAGGCAGCAGUGCGGAAUAUUGCACAAUGGGCGGAAGCCUGAUGCAGCAACGCCGCGUGCGGGAUGACGGCCUUCGGGUUGUAAACCGCUUUCGCCUGUGACGAAGCGUGAGUGACGGUAAUGGGUAAAGAAGCACCGGCUAACUACGUG